UCAAAAACAUGUCUUAUUGAUUUUAAUUUUAAGUUUGACCUGCCCACUGAAGUAUUUAAAUGGCCGCAGUAUUAUGACUGUGCUAAGGUAGCAUAAUCAAUAGUUUCUUAAUUAGAAGCUGGAAUGAAUGGUUGGAUGAAAUAAUGGUUGUCUCUAUUUAAUUUUAUUAAAAUUUUAUUUUUUAGUAAAAAAGCUAAAAUUAAUUUAAAAGACGAGAAGACCCUAUAGAGUUUAAUAUUUAUUUUUUUUUAAUUUUAUUGGAAUUUAUAUUUUUAAUUUAAUUAAAUAUUUAAUUGGGGUGAUUAAAAAAUUAAAUUAACUUUUUUAUUUAUUACCAUUGAUUUAUGAAUAAUUGAUCCAUUUUUAGUGAUUAAAAGAUUAAAUUACCUUAGGGAUAACAGCGUGAUAUUUUCAGAGAGUUCUUAUCGAAGAAAGAGAUUGCGACCUCGAUGUUGGAUUAAAGUAAAUUAUUGGUGUAGAAGUUAAUAUUAUUAGGUCUGUUCGACCUUUAAAAUUUUACAUGAUCUGA
rnacentral:rRNA from 1 species